rnacentral:rRNA from 1 species
UACGUAGGGGGCAAGCGUUAUCCGGAUUUACUGGGUGUAAAGGGAGCGUAGACGGCCAUUCAAGCCAGAUGUGAAAGCCCGGGGCUCAACCCCGGGACCGCAUUUGGAACUGUAUGGCUGGAGUGUCGGAGAGGCAGGCGGAAUUCCUAGUGUAGCGGUGAAAUGCGUAGAUAUUAGGAGGAACACCAGUGGCGAAGGCGGCCUGCUGGACGAUGACUGACGUUGAGGCUCGAAAGCGUGGGGAGCAAACAGG